rnacentral:rRNA from 1 species
CUACGGGUCGCUGCAGUGGGGAAUAUUGCACAAUGGGCGCAAGCCUGAUGCAGCCAUGCCGCGUGUAUGAAGAAGGCCUUCGGGUUGUAAAGUACUUUCAGCGGGGAGGAAGGGAGUAAAGUUAAUACCUUUGCUCAUUGACGUUACCCGCAGAAGAAGCACCGGCGAACUCCGUGCCAGCAGCCGCGGUAAUACGGAGGGUGCAAGCGUUAAUCGGAAUUACUGGGCGUAAAGCGCACGCAGGCGGUUUGUUAAGUCAGAUGUGAAAUCCCCGGGCUCAACCUGGGAACUGCCUCUGAUACUGGCAAGCUUGAGUCUCGUAGAGGGGGGUAGAAUUCCAGGUGUAGCGGGGAAAUGCGUAGAGAUCUGGAGGAAUACCGGUGGCGAAGGCGGCCCCCUGGACGAAGACUGACGCUCAGGUGCGAAAGCGUGGGGAGCAAACAGGAUUAGAUACCCCCGUAGUC